rnacentral:lncRNA from 1 species
AAACAGAUGAAUAACUCAAGAACUGACCGUUAACUUUUCGAUCCCUCCGGUCAUAAUGUAGUCCUAUAUGUCCUCUAUCCAUAGGCACUAAGUUUAGUCCGAUCGAACACCAUUUGUUUUACCAAAGUAGCUUCAUUUCCAGGCUGGUCGUAAACGCAAACUGCACCUACAUCUCUCACGAAAACAAGCAUAACUCUCAGAAAAUAACUCGGAAUAACGAUCCGCUUUCAGGAGAUGAUAGAUAAGAGAAUUAAAUACUUAC